UUUUCAUCCAUGGGUUCUGGAAGUGAAACCUGCCUUAGAUCAUGAAACUGGUGGGGGUUGGGGAGAGUAGAGUCACAACUGACCUUCACAACAAUAUGCAUCCCUCUCACCUUAUUGCUGUGGACAACAAAAUGUUUUCCAUCCAGACCCUUAAAGAAUGUACUCACAGGUGCUGGGUUUGUAAAGGAUGAUAACAGCAUGUAAAAUCUACUCAAAAGAGAUCCAUUUUAAUUUACAAUAUAACCCCUCUAGCUAUAGAAAAAAAGCCUUCUGCCCUACAAUAAUGUUCUUUAAAAUGUCUUUCUGUCUUCUGGGAGCAAAGCAGCAAGAAACAGAGCUCUACUGGAGAAGUCGGACCGUCUAGUUGCAGGAAAAUGACCUCAAGUCUCCCACUGAUUCUACAUUAUGGUGAGUUAUGUAAUUAUUUUAUUAUAUAUUACAAUGAAUUAAUAAUAGAAAUAAAGUGUAAAAUAAACAUAGUGCAAUUGAAUCAUACCAACACCAUCCCCCAACCCAGUCCACGGAAAUGUUGUCUUCCGGGAAGCCAGUCCCUGGUGCCAAAAAGGUUGGGGACCGCUCAAUUAAA